rnacentral:lncRNA from 1 species
UCUGCUACCUUUCUUCAACAAAGUUGCACAUGGUGCCAUUGGAGAUGCUUAAACAAACUUUUCCUAUGAAAAGUGAUCAAAGGACAUGUUUGAGUUUGAGUUUGAGUGAAAUGAAAUAAACAAAGAAUUAAAUGAAAGAUAUGUUUGAGCUUGAAAAUAAUAUGAAAAGGUAACACCAUAUAUAAGUUAUUCAUAUAUGUCUUCAUAAAACAUGAAUUUUCUUUAUUCUUUUGAAAUUUGAAUUUUCUGAGUAAAAUGCUUCAAUUCUUUAAUCAUCUUUUAAGUCUAAAUAAUUGCACACAAAUAAUUUUUUUAGAAACAAAAUAUAUCAAAGUGGGUCUAUAAUUCUGAUGUAACAGUUAUUUCUAAGCUCAGGCUUAACAUAUUUAACAUAAAAGCUAUAAACAAAUUGAGAUCAUGAUGAUAUUACCACCAGCUAAUUAACAAACGGAGCUAUAUAUUUGUAUUUUCAUGGUUUAAGCAGCUAAACUUCUAACUAUAUAUGAAGGCAGGCCACUAAGCCCCCUUUAAAAUUUGAAAGGCUUCCAAGUUGAUGAGGAAUGGUUCCAACAAGAACAUUAUUAUAACUAAGAUCAAGGUACAACAAAUGAGAGAAAUUUCCAAGUUGAUAAGGGAUUGUAACCUCGAGACGAUUCUCUGAAAGAUCAAGAUAUUGCAACUGUGAAAGGCGAACAAGAUCAUUUGGAUUUCUUCCGUCAUCAAAUGAACCUUGGAGGUCAAGGAGUCUCAACUAUUGUGGAGCUGUUCUCUAAGGUUCGUUGG